GAAAGCUCUCUUGAAGGAUAUAUAGUUCGAGUCUGGAAAGUACACGAAGACGUUCGGACUGCUGUGGACACCUUGAGCUUUACGGAAGAGGCGAUAGUUUACCAUCUACAGCAGAAUCAAGUCUAUGUACUGCGCGUGCUCGGGUUCAGCUCGUCAGGUGACGGCGCUAUAAGUGAAGCCCGUUAUUUUAUGAUCACGAGUAACACGCUGCAGUUUUAUAGCGUUUCGGUUGACCCAGCUGUGUCGCAAAUGUGUUUCUACGAACAAUAUUCCGGCGUCUGUGAUGGGACCGAGGCAUUGAGUGAUCGAGCGAAAUCUGUUAUAAUUGUUGGUGCCAUAUUUUUAACAGUAUUGUCCACGAAUAUUUUAAGUGAAUUGUGAGUUGUGUCUGUUAAGAUUUCGGUAAACAUUAUGAGUCAGGCGUACAUAAAUGCGAUGUAUUUUAUCAAAGAGCUUUGCUUUGAAUAUAAGUAUCACGCAGU